GUGAGAGCAGGCUGCCCCUGCAGCUCAGAGGGGAAGGCCAAGGACCCUUGGUGGAGCUCAGCUCUGACACUCUGGAGCUUGGGGACAUUUUUGUCAACACCCCCCAUGUCUGUGAGGUGAACCUGAUCAACCAAGGAGCUCUUGAUGCUCCCUUCAGAUACAUCCCUGCAGCCACAAAGGUGGGCUUGGGCUUCAAGCUGGCACCCCAGGAGGGCAUCAUUGCAGCAGGUGGGAGCCAGACUCUCCAGAUCUCCUUCAGUGCCACCGUGUUGGGGAGGUUUGAGGAAGAAUUCCGGUUCAGUGUGGCUGGAUCUCCUACGCCUGCCAUCCUGACCAUCAGGGGCAGCGUCACUGGACCCAGUUUGCACUUCGACCUCCCUGAGCUCGACUUCGGGGACAUCUCCUUUGG